UCACUCUUUUCCUUAAUUGUUUGACUAGC
rnacentral:sRNA from 1 species